rnacentral:tRNA from 1 species
GCGGGUAUGGCGGAAUUGGCAGACGCGCCAGAUUUAGGAUCUGGUGGGCUUCCCGUGCAGGUUCAAGUCCUGUUACCCGCACCA